CUUCGGUGAGGGCGUCAUAGAGUGGCUGCAUGAGCUUUGAGGCUUCCGGUAUCCAGGACCUGCAGUAUGUAAUGAGACCCAAGAAGGCAUGAAGAGUCUGAUGUGUUGCAGGUAAUGGGAGUUGCAAAAUAGCUUGUACACGCUGAGAAGUUAGACGUCUGGUGCCAUGUGAAAGACAAUGUCCCAAGAAGACCACAGAGGGCCAGCACCAUUGCAGCUUGGAUUUGGAAGCUUUGCAACCGGCUUCAGCGAGAAAACAUAGGAGAUCUUCUGAGUCACGUUCAGCAAUAAGUGAAUCAGGAGCACAGAGAAGGAGGUCAUCAACAUAUUGAAGUAGGACAACAUCAGAGUGAGUUUUCUGCCAGGGUUCUAGUACCAAAGACAAGGCACGGGCAAACUGAGUGGGGGAAUUCUGGGCCCCCUGAGGUAUGACAGUCCAGGUGUAUUGUCCUUCAUGGGUAAAAGCGAAGAGGGAGCGACAGGAGGGGUCUAGUGGCACACUGAAAAAUGCAUUAGCCAGAUCUACUACAGUGAAUACUGUGGCUGUAG